rnacentral:rRNA from 1 species
UACAGAGGUCUCAAGCGUUGUUCGGAUUCAUUGGGCGUAAAGGGUGCGUAGGUGGCGCUGUAAGUCGGGUGUGAAAUUUCGGAGCUUAACUCCGAAACUGCAUUCGAUACUGCGGUGCUUGAGGACUGGAGAGGAGACUGGAAUUCAUGGUGUAGCAGUGAAAUGCGUAGAUAUCGUGAGGAACACCAGAGGCGAAGGCGGUUACCUGGACAGUUACUGACGCUCAGGCACGAAAGCAUGGGGAGCAAAAGGG